AUUGAACGCUGGCGGCAUGCUUUACACAUGCAAGUCGAACGGCAGCGCGGGCUUCGGCCUGGCGGCGAGUGGCGAACGGGUGAGUAAUGCAUCGGAACGUGCCCAGUAGUGGGGGAUAGCCCGGCGAAAGCCGGAUUAAUACCGCAUACGACCUGAGGGUGAAAGCGGGGGACCGAAAGGCCUCGCGCUAUUGGAGCGGCCGAUGUCGGAUUAGCUAGUUGGUGGGGUAAAGGCUUACCAAGGCGACGAUCCGUAGCUGGUCUGAGAGGACGACCAGCCACACUGGGACUGAGACACGGCCCAGACUCCUACGGGAGGCAGCAGUGGGGAAUUUUGGACAAAGGGGGCAACCCUGAUCCAGCCAUGCCGCGUGCGGGAAGAAGGCCUUCGGGUUGUAAACCGCUUUUGUUCGGGAAGAAAUCCUCUGGGCCAAUACCCCGGGGGGAUGACGGUACCGGAAGAAUAAGCACCGGCUAACUACGUG
rnacentral:rRNA from 1 species